UUAAUUUUAAUUCCAGUACAGUUACCAUACAUUGUUAUAUUAGUUUUAGGUGUAUAAUGUAGUGAUUUAACAAUUUUGUACAUUACUGAGUGCUCAUCAUAAUAAAU